rnacentral:rRNA from 1 species
AUACAGAGACUACAACCGUUACUCGGAUUCACUGGGCGUAAAGGGUGCGCAGGCGGCUAGGUGUGUCGGGUGUGAAAUUCUGGGGCUUAACUCCAGGACUGCGCCCGAAACUACUUAGCUAGAGUCUCGGAGAGGUAAGCGGAAUUCCAGGUGUAGCGGUGAAAUGCGUAGAUAUCUGGAGGAACACCAAAGGCGAAGGCAGCUUACUGGAAGAGUACUGACGCUCAAGCACGAAAGCGUGGGGAGCAAAAGGGAUUAGAUACCCCUGUAGUCCACGCCCUAAACUUUGUACACUAGGACUUGGAACAUUCGACCGUUUCAGGAUCCAAGCUAACGCGAUGAGUGUACCGCCUGAGGACUACGGCCGCAAGGCUAAA